CCUACGGUGGGCAGCAGUGAGGAAUAUUGGUCAAUGGGCGAGAGCCUGAACCAGCCAAGUCGCGUGAGGGAGUACUGCCCUAUGGGUUGUAAACCUCUUUUGUCGGGGAGCAAAAGCCGGACGUGUCCGGCUGUGAGAGGACCCGAAGAAAAAGCAUCGGCUAACUCCGUGCCAGGAGCCGCGGGAAUACGGGGGAUGCGAGCGUUAUCCGGAUUUAUUGGGUUUAAAGGGAGCGUAGGUGGAUUGUUAAGUCAGUUGUGAAAGUUUGCGGCUCAACCGUAAAAUUGCAGUUGAAACUGGCAGUCUUGAGUACAGUAGAGGUGGGCGGAAUUCGUGGUGUAGCGGUGAAAUGCUUAGAUAUCACGAAGAACUCCGAUUGCGAAGGCAGCUCACUGGACUGCAACUGACACUGAGGCUCGAAAGUGUGGGUAUCAAACAGGAUUAGAUACCCUUGUAGUC
rnacentral:rRNA from 1 species